AGAGCCACCAUCAGCUGAAAUCAUAAUGCAUAAGUGAAAAAACUACCCAAGACAUCAUGUUUAUGCCAGUUGGAAUCCCCAGACUAGAGGCAUCCUCACAGCCAAGUCAACUAUAUGACGUUCUUUAAGAACUUUGGAGAAUAUGGACUGAAGUAUCAGAUCCAAGAGGACAAGUCUUUGAGACCUGACAGAACACUUUCAAGCUCACAUGCUGUGUCCUCAUGCUCAGCAGCUCCGCUCCUGUGUCCUCCUAUUCCAGGCACAUCCACGGAGAAGGGGGACUAGUUGGGGAAGCCAAACAGAGGGUUAGAAGAGUAGCAUCUUUUGCUGUCCCUGUGUCAACCUUAAUUCUGCUUUUUGCAUAGGUCUUCUCAGCGCUACCUUCCCUCUCCUCUGGAUGGGACAUUCAGCAGUGCCCAGGGACACUUUUGCUUGACACAAAUGAGGAUGCUAUUACCAUCCUGCAGCAGAGAGCACAGCCUCCACAAGAAGUAAUUAUCUGGUCCAAAACAUCAAUAGUGCCAUUGGUGGGAAACACUGCUUUAG